rnacentral:rRNA from 1 species
UACGGAGGGGCUAGGCGUUGUUCGGAAUUACUGGCGUAAGCGCACGUAGGCGGCUUUGUAAGUUAGAGGUGAAAGCCUGGAGCUCAACUCCAGAAUUGCCUUUAAGACUGUCAUCGCUUGAAUCCAGGAGAGGUGAGUGGAAUUCCGAGUGUAGAGGUGAAAUUCGUAGAUAUUACGGAAGAACACCGGUGGACGAAGGCGGCGACCUG